rnacentral:rRNA from 1 species
GGGGGGGGGCAAGCGUUGUUCGGAAUUACUGGGCGUAAAGGGCGCGCAGGCGGCCCGGCAAGUCCUACGUGAAAUCCCACAGCUCAACUGUGGAAUUGCGUGGGAUACUGCCAGGCUUGAGUCCGGGAGAGGAGAGUGGAAUUCCCAGUGUAGCGGUGAAAUGCGUAGAUAUUGGGAGGAACACCGGUGGCGAAGGCGGCUCUCUGGACCGGUACUGACGCUGAGGCGCGAAAGCUAGGGGAGCAAACGGGAUUAGAUACCCCGAUAGUCCUAGCCCUAAACGUUGAGCACUUGGUGUGGCGGGUAUCGACCCCUGCCGUGCCGAAGCUAACGCAUUAAGUGCUCCGCCUGGGGAGUACGGUCGCAAAGGCUG